rnacentral:rRNA from 1 species
UGCCAGCCGCCGCGGUAAUACGGAGGGUGCAAACGUUGUUCGGAAUCACUGGGCAUAAAGCGCACGUAGGCGGUCCGCUAAGUCGGAUGUGAAAGCCCUCGGCUCAACCGGGGAACUGCAUUCGAUACUGGCGGACUCGAGGAUGGUUGGGGUGAGUGGAACUCCUGGUGGAGCGGUGAAAUGCGUAGAUAUCAGGAGGAACACCAGUGGCGAAAGCGGCUCACUGGACCAUUUCUGACGCUGAGGUGCGAAAGCUAGGGGAGCGAACGGGAUUAGAUA